CCGCUCCUAUUGGCUCAAACACAAGUCAAUCACACAAAGCAUUGCGUCACUCUCACAGACGCUGAGCUGUGAUUGGUGUAAAUCCAGCUACGGUGCCGCCUUCUUGGUUGUGAUUGGCCGAACCUGAACAUUGCCGAACAUGGUAAAGAAGAUUUCGCAAUCGGCUGUACUCCAUGUUCCAAACAAAAACACACUCCGACCGCCGACAGACGGAAUAAAACUCCGACUUUUCACCUCGACGUCCUCUACGUCCACAGACGGGUGACUCCGCUGCCGCUUUCUGAAGGCUUCCUCCGGUCGGCCGGUGUUUUUCUCCACUUCCUGUCGCCACCCGUCUCUACACCUGAGGAGGCCCGGGUCAGAGCUCAGCACCUGCAGGCAGCACAUCCAAAUGAGCCGGCCGUCCCAGCCGAAACCCACUUCAGCUGACCACAACGGCGUGAGCGUUAUCCAGAGCCAGGCCCACGCCGCCCCCUCCUCCUCCUCGUCCCUGCCGGCGGCGCUCGCCGGACUGCAGCAGGUCCCCCAGCUCGUCCCAGCCCACCCUUCCUCCACCGGAGGCAAAGCUCUCCCCCCGAGCAAGAUGAAGAAGCCGUCGGUGGACAAGGACAGCGACGAGUACCGGCAGCGGCGCGAGCGCAACAACCUGGCGGUGAAGAAGAGCCGCAUGCGCAGCAAGCAGAAGGCCAUGGACACGCAGCAGCGCGUCAACGAGCUGAAGGAGGAGAACGAGCGGCUGGAGGCCAAGAUCAAGCUGCUCAGCAAGGAGCUGAGCGUGCUCAAAGACCUCUUCCUGGAGCACGCGCAUAAUCUGGCCGACAACGUGCAGCCGCCCGCCGGCCCCGAGGGCACCAGCCCCGCCUCCAACAACAACCCCGCCAGUGCACAGUGAGGGGGCGGGGUCACAGGGAUGUUAUUUAUCUGCAGGUAACCUGGAAACAAGCCUCACUACUUCGCCCCUUUUCUUUCCCUUUUGACCUUGUUCAACCCCGCCCACUCACUGUCAGGAUGCCUGGAGGCUCCGCCCACUCACUGUUUGGAUGGUUUUUCACUUUUUUUUCCUGACUUAAAACAUAUUUGCUGUAAGAAAACAGUAACUUUGUGCUGAUUGAACUGAGCUGGAGGAACCGAGCUUCUGAUUGGUCGGUUUGGAGGAAAGCGUCGGACUUAGACGCCGACUCGUGGUUCCACUUCCUGUCUGCUCCACUGGACGCUCUUCAUCUUUCUGUUGUUUUUUUGUUUGUUUUUUUUAGACUAAAGUUUUUUCACUACAUCUUGAUGUUUAAAGGACAAACCUAUGAGCGGCACCAGAACCGGGUCAGACUCUGUUCUGUGGACACGUUAAAACGACCCGGGUUCUCAGAGGGCAGAAUUCUUUUUUUGAGGUCGUGUUGCACAUUUUAACGUUUGUGUCGGACGUUUUGUGCUGAGGUGGAACCUACAACUGGACCGCAGCACGUGAACCUGUACAUCAGAACUGUAGGGAGAACCAGUCUGGGUCAGAACUCCGGGACACGUUUAAUGGGACUGCGAGGCCUGAAAAGAACCGUUGGAUUGUUUGGUACAGAACCAGUCCGGUACGAACCAGAAGUCUUGUUCUGGGACCUGAAUGAUUAGUUCUGAUGUUUGUAAACAGGAAGUUCUGAUAUGACAGAACAGUCGGUGUGUUUGUGUGCCAAGUGCCGGGCGGACGCAGACGCCUCAGCCUCCUCAGGUGAACCGCAGCUUUAGGUAAAUCCAGGUUGAAGCCGGGCCGGGUUCCGCCGAGGCCUGAGCAGAUCCAGACAAGUCCCCCGCCCCGUCGCAGAGAAGUGGGCGGGGCUCAGACUCCAUAAUUACCUGAGCUUUGUGCAGGCAUGUCUGGAGUCCUCGUCGCUUUUUUUGGACCCGGCUCGGCUCUGAGCGGGGAUUAGAGAAAAAAAAAAGUUUUUAAAAUAAAUUCUUUUGGUAAUUUUAGUUUAAAUGCAGAGUCAGAAGCUGAGAGCUGUGCAGAAAUAUCAAAGUCAUCACAAACAUAAACACUAAAAGCUCAGAGGCAUCAGCUGCUAAUUAGGACAUUUUGAAUCAACAACCUAAUUAAUUAUAUGUCAUUGAAAGUUUUAUUUUUUGUCAAAAAGCAGCGACUGAUUUAUGACUGUUUGAUUUAUGACUA